AAAGUACAAUAUUUUUUCACAAAGGUAUAAAUAGGUAUUUUUUUAACAAUAUUUACAAUCUCCUCCAACAAUUGUAAUACAAAUAUUAAAUAUAUCAAGUACAAGCAUACCUAUUAUAUGCAUUUCAUUUUCCGUACAUAUAACCUUGAAAUAUAAUGAUGUUUGGGUCAAUAGAUUUUUGUAACACAUUUAAAUUAUCCUCACAUAUUCAGAAUGAACGAAACUCAACCCUUUAUAUUUUUCCGUAUAGCAAUCUAAAUUAGAGUUUUAUAAGAAUAAAAAUCUAUACAAUUAAAUAUAAAUAAAUAAAUAAAAAUAAUAUAGUAUAUUAAUUAAAUGCAUAUGUCGUUAGAAGGCUAUAAGAGUACCUAUUAUAAUAAUCGAUUAACGUACGAUGACCGCUGUACUAACCACAAGUCAAUUAUAUUAAUAAUAUAAUAACAAUGUCAAAUACUUACCAAAAGAACAAAGAGUUCCAAUCAAAAUAUUUGAUGGAAACAGAAAAAAAGCGGCUUGAUUCAACACGUGGAUAAUAAGACAGACGGAGGACAACAAAAUGAACGUACUCGGCCCAUUCCUCAAUGACUCGGCCACACACUGAAUACGUAAGACGAAAAUGACGACACAAGUAUUAACAAAGAACGAAAUGUCGACAACCGAUAUGGCCGUUAGUCGAUAGAAACCGCAAAAUGGCGAACGAUAAAGCGUCCGUCCAAUAUUAUUUCGUGUCUACCGUAGGUAUACGCGGUACAUACAAAAAGUGACAAUAAUAAAAUAAACAGUGCGGACAACAUGAUUACCGGUCGGGUAGAAUGACGAUUAGAAGACGGGGACUGGUACAAUAUAUCACCAUUAAUAACAGUGAACCUAAUAAGAACGAAGCAAAAUUGCAUACCAAUUGUUAU